CUACGGGUCGCUGCAGUAGGGAAUUUUCGACAAUGGGGGGAACCCUGAUCGAGCAAUGCCGCGUGAAUGAAGAAGGUCUUCGGACUGUAAAGUUCUUUUAUUGGAGAAGAAUGGUCACAUCAGGAAAUGGGAGUGAUUUGACGGUAUCCAUUGAAUAAGCCCCGGCUAAGUACGUGCCAGCAGCCGCGGUAAUACGUAGGGGGCGAGCGUUAUCCGGAAUUAUUGGGCGUAAAGCGUGCGUAGGCGGUUUGUUAAGUCACUUGUAAAAGAUCUCAGCCCAACUGAGUAGGGCGAGUGAAACUGGCAGACUUGAAUACGGUAGAGGUAAGCGGAAUUCCAUGUGUAGCGGUGGAAUGCGUAGAUAUAUGGAGGAACACCAAUGGCGAAGGCAGCUUACUGGGCCGGAAUUGACGCUGAGGCACGAAAGCGUGGGGAGCAAACAGGAUUAGAUACCCGUGUAGUC
rnacentral:rRNA from 1 species